rfam:Microgenomates (Woesebacteria) bacterium GW2011_GWB1_38_8 TT08_C0010, whole genome shotgun sequence.
GCCUGGAUAGCUCAGCCGGUAGAGCGCAUUCUUGGUAAGAAUGAGGUCUCGGGUUCGAUUCCCGAUCCAGGCU